ensembl:lncRNA
CUUAAAAGUCAGUGUCAGUCAGCAGGUGAAAACACAACUUCUCAGAAGCCAAGAAUGGAAGAAACCUGUUUACUGCUCAUCCUGCUGCUCUCAGAAAGUGAUCAAACUGAUGGCAGCCUUGGAGCGUUGCAGGCACGAAUAGAGGAGCUUGUCGUCAUCAUCAGAGUGCGAACACAAAGUCUUUACAGACAAAAUGAUAGCAACAAGAGGCGACACAGAAUUCGCAAGGUCAUCUUAGUUGAGAAGAAACGCUUGGCGGCUGCUGUUGACGACUACAACAAGAUUGCUGAACCAACAAAACAAAUCGUAUCAAGCGAUGCCCUCAUCCAGACUGAUAUUUGGCCCUGGCAGAGCACAACUGCUGCUGACCUCCAGACAAAGAGAAAGGUCUUUGAGAAGGUGAUGGCUGUGAGGCGCCUGAGAGAGGAGGAGAUGAUCCUUUGCAGGGAGAUGCGGCAUCACUGGACAGUGUUGCGAAUGCGAUCUGUGGUGUUGGGGACAAUCUCCUCAGACUCCUCCCUUGUUGGCAUGUCGGAGGAUGCACAGAAGGGACUCUGUAGCCUGGUUUUAAAAAAAACAAAGUGAACUGAAAGCUGAAAUGCUCAAAGUAAAGGACAUGUACAAGAGAAUCCUCAGCCACCAACCACUCCUGGAAAUGGACUCGGAGGAGGAGGAGGACAUUCCAGACGAUGCCACUGGGAGUGAUUUGAGCACUUCUGAUGAAGACUGAUUGUGUCAUCAUUGAUGUUAUGUUUGGUAAAAUAAAAAGUUAAUCACAUCUCUGUUUAAUGUGAUUUUUCAACAGACAUUUUACAGUUGUUUACCCUGAAUCAUUCUUUCCCAUCUAAUUUAAUGACUAGUGUACAUGUUCAGAUACGAUAACAUAAUUUAAUUUAUGGGAUGCUUUCUGGGCUGCUCAAAUUAUCACAAAAUUUAAAAGCACCAGGCAGCACACUCACAAGUAAAUUUUUUGCUCAGUGUUUUGUCGAAGAAAUCAACAAGUACAAUUGAGAUGCUUGCUGUAGUGGUGUGUUUGUUAAGAAGCAUGCGAGCACACUGGUGAACUGACAGUCCCAGAAUGCACCCGAGCCACUGACUCGCCCCAGAGCAAAUGAAAUUGCUUAUCUAGAAAGACAACCGUCAUCAAAGAAGAAGUAAAAGAGUAGGAAACAAAUGGUAAGGGAAGGUACUGUGGGGUAGGAAAGAAAGACCAGAGCCGUGCAAAAUGACCUCCAGCAGGCCACAAAUGUGCACGUCUGCUCAAACGGUCAGAAACGGACUCCAUGAGGGUGGUAUGAGGGCCCGACGUCCACAGGUGGGGUUGUGCUUACAGCCCAACACCGUGCCAGAUGUUUGGCAUUUGCCAGAGAACACAUAGAUUGGCAACUUUGCCACUGGCGCCCUGUGCUCCUCACAGAUGAAAGCAGGUUCACACUGAGCACUUGUGACAGAGUCUGGAGACGCCAUGGAGAACCUUCUGGUGCCUGCAACAUCCUCCAGCAUGACGGUUUGGCAGUGGGUCAAUUUUGGUGUGGGGUGGCAUUUCUUUGGGGAGCUGCACAGCCCUCCAUGUGUUCGGCAGAGGUAGCCUGACAGCCAUUAGGUACUGAGAUGAGAUGCUCAGACCCCUUGUGAGACCAUAUGCUGGUGCGGUUGGCCCCGGGUUCCUCCUAAUGCAAGACAAUGCUAGACCUCAUGUGGCUGGAGUGUGUCAGCAGUUCCUGCAAGACGAAGGCAUUGAUGCUGUGGACUGGCCCGCCCGUUCCCCAGACCUGAAUCCAAUUGAGGACAUCUGGGACAUCAUGUCUCGCUCCAUCCACCAACUGCACCACAAAAUGUCCAGGAGUGGGCAGAUGCUUUAGUCCUGGAGUCUGGGAGGAGAUCCAUCAGGAGAGCAUCUGCCACUUCAUCAGGAGCAUGCCCAGGUGUUGUAGGGAGGUCAUACAGGCAUGUGGAGGCCACACAGACUACAGAGCCUCAUUUUGACGUGUUUUAAGGACAUUACAUAAAACCAGAUUAAUGAUUCUGUAUUGCAUUGAUCAAGGAACCAACCCAAUAGGAGCUAAAGGAAUCCUCUUGACAUUACUUCACUCAGUAAGUUUAUAUUAUGUUUAAUGUGCAUUUUCUUCAUCAGUUUAGAACAUAACAUGUUAGCGCUCCCUGGUCCUUUUUGGAGACAGAUCCUGAGACAGCAGGCAGCUAUGAAGAACUCGUGUCAGCUGUGGUAAUUAAGUAAUACUUUGAUUUAAUAUUGAUUUCAUGACAACUAUCCUCAGGCACAUAUUCCUGGAUAUAUACAAUGACAUGAGUAAACUCCCAUUUUAGAAUCAUUGCCUUCUUUGAUCUGACUUAUUGCCUCAGACUUUAGUCCAGUGUCCCCAAAAGUCUAGAAAAUCCAUGACACUGAGUAAGAGGCCUUUAUCAUAAGUGUGAGAGUUUGGUGUAACAGUGGUUGAACAUGCCAAAUCAAUCCACAACAUACUGCCAUUCCCCAGCUGUAACCUGCAUAUGCAUCAAACCAAAAUCCAGUAUCAUAGCCACAUGAUAGACAUAAAGAUGAGGUUAAAAGGGUUGUAUCAUUUUGCCAGAUAGCUUCAUCCCCAAAAAGAUAAACAUUGUUCAAAAACAAAAGUUUGUGAAUAUUUGCUGUAUUGCCAGGCCUAAACAAACCUGUUAAACUUAUCAAAUUAUUGUCAUAGAUACGAACCUAUUGAUUGAAACAGAAUAAUCCAUUGAAGCCUCCAUCAUCAUCCAAGAUCACUGUUACUAUUGAGAUUAUUUUAUCUCUAUUUUCC